GAUGAACGCUGGCGGCGUGCCUAAUACAUGCAAGUCGAGCGAACAGACGAGGAGCUUGCUCCUCUGACGUUAGCGGCGGACGGGUGAGUAACACGUGGAUAACCUACCUAUAAGACUGGGAUAACUUCGGGAAACCGGAGCUAAUACCGGAUAAUAUAUUGAACCGCAUGGUUCAAUAGUGAAAGACGGCUUUGCUGUCACUUAUAGAUGGAUCCGCGCCGCAUUAGCUAGUUGGUAAGGUAACGGCUUACCAAGGCAACGAUGCGUAGCCGACCUGAGAGGGUGAUCGGCCACACUGGAACUGUGACACGGUCCAGACUCCUACGGGAGGCAGCAGUAGGGAAUCUUCCGCAAUGGGCGAAAGCCUGACGGAGCAACGCCGCGUGAGUGAUGAAGGUCUUCGGAUCGUAAAACUCUGUUAUUAGGGAAGAACAAAUGUGUAAGUAACUAUGCACGUCUUGACGGUACCUAAUCAGAAAGCCACGGCUAACUACGUG
rnacentral:rRNA from 1 species